rnacentral:misc_RNA from 1 species
UUUCAAAGGCGAGACGUGUCAAAGUUAAGCUAGUACAUCUCAAAACAAUUCCAGAAUUGAGAAACAUACUAACGGCAGACCCAAACACGGGAGUUUCAAACUUAAUCACCGAGAAGGCGUUGAAGCUGCUUGAAACGGUGUCGUCCUGCAAGGAAGGGAGAGUAGAGAUGUGCAGUGACAUGGCGUGCAUAGAAGCAGUGGUUCAGAAGGUGUUCAAAGUAUCGGUAGAGGCG